rnacentral:rRNA from 1 species
GCUGGCGGCGUGCUCACACAUGCAAGAAAAACGAACCUUCGGGUUAGUGGCGGACGGGUGAGUAACGCGUUUUACCCUGCCCUCAGGAGGGGGAUAACGGUUGGAAACGACCGCUAAUACCCCAUAUGCCGAGAGGUGAAAAGAAAUUCGCCUGAGGAUGAGCUCGCGUCUGAUUAGCUAGUUGGUGUGGUAAUGGCGCACCAAGGCUUCGAUCAGUAGCUGGUCUGAGAGGAUGAUCAGCCACACUGGGACUGAGACACGGCCCAGACUCCUACGGGAGGCAGCAGUGGG